UGAGGAAUAUUGGUCAAUGGCCGCAGGGCUGAACCAGCCAAGUCGCGUGAGGGAUGACGGUCCUAUGGAUUGUAAACCUCUUUUGUCAGGGAGCAAAGGGCGCCACGUGUGGCGCUUUGCGAGUACCUGAAGAAAAAGCAUCGGCUAACUCCGUGCCAGCAGCCGCGGUAAUACGGAGGAUGCGAGCGUUAUCCGGAUUUAUUGGGUUUAAAGGGUGCGCAGGCGGAAUGUCAAGUCAGCGGUAAAAUUUCGGGGCUCAACCCCGUCGUGCCGUUGAAACUGGCGUUCUUGAGUGAGCGAGAAGUAUGCGGAAUGCGUGGUGUAGCGGUGAAAUGCAUAGAUAUCACGCAGAACUCCGAUUGCGAAGGCAGCAUACCGGCGCUCAACUGACGCUCAUGCACGAAAGCGUGGGUAUCGAACAGGAUUAGAUACCCUGGUAGUCCACGCAGUAAACGAUGAAUACUAACUGUCCGGGCAGAAUGAUGCCUGGGUGGUACAGCGAAAGCGUUAAGUAUUCCACCUGGGGAGUACGCCGGCAACGGUGAAACUCAAAGGAAUUGACGGGGGCCCGCACAAGCGGAGGAACAUGUGGUUUAAUUCGAUGAUACGCGAGGAACCUUACCCGGGCUCAAACGACGGAUGAAUGUUUUUGAAAGGAGGCAGUCCUACGGGACAUCCGUCGAGGUGCUGCAUGGUUGUCGUCAGCUCGUGCCGUGAGGUGUCGGCUUAAGUGCCAUAACGAGCGCAACCCCCAUCGCCAGUUACCAGCAAGUAAAGUUGGGGACUCUGGCGAGACUGCCGGCGCAAGCUGUGAGGAAGGCGGGGAUGACGUCAAAUCAGCACGGCCCUUACGUCCGGGGCGACACACGUGUUACAAUGGCAGGUACAGAGAGAUGCGAUGCGGCGACGCAGAGCGGAACUUCAAAGCCUGUCUCAGUUCGGAUUGGAGUCUGCAACCCGACUCCAUGAAGCUGGAUUCGCUAGUAAUCGCGCAUCAGCCACGGCGCGGUGAAUACGUUCCC
rnacentral:rRNA from 1 species